rnacentral:rRNA from 1 species
GACGAACGCUGGCGGCGUGCCUAAUACAUGCAAGUAGAACGCACAGUUUAUACCGUAGCUUGCUACACCAUAGACUGUGAGUUGCGAACGGGUGAGUAACGCGUAGGUAACCUGCCUGGUAGCGGGGGAUAACUAUUGGAAACGAUAGCUAAUACCGCAUAAUAUUGAUUAUUGCAUGAUAAUUGAUUGAAAGAUGCUAUUGCAUCACUCCCAGAUGGACCUGCGUUGUAUUAGCUAGUAGGUGAGGUAACGGCUCACCUAGGCGACGAUACAUAGCCGACCUGAGAGGGUGAUCGGCCACACUGGGACUGAGACACGGCCCAGACUCCUACGGGAGGCAGCAGUAGGGAAUCUUCGGCAAUGGACGAAAGUCUGACCGAGCAACGCCGCGUGAGUGAAGAAGGUUUUCGGAUCGUAAAGCUCUGUUGUAAGAGAAGAACGGGUGUGAGAGUGGAAAGUUCACACUGUGACGGUAUCUUACCAGAAAGGGACGGCUAACUACGUG